CAACUCAGACUCUCAACAAGUCUCCUCCUACUGACUGCAGAGCUGCUGCAGAGAACUGCUGGACUCCAGCUGUGUGAGAACAUCAGGACAAACAUCCUCAUCUAAUUCAGCCUCAACAUCACUUCCAACAUUUCACCUGUGGAAACAUGGAAACACUGGCUGUGAUUUGCUUCUUCUCAGCUCUUGUAGGUCAGAGCUUGGAAGCUGAUAUUACUGCCAUCAGAUCUGAAGUGUUUUCAUCAGAGGGACCCAGAGUUACUCUGUCCUGUAACUAUUCAGUCAAAGCUAACAACCUCCAGUGGUAUCGACAAGAUCCUGGAUCAGCGCCUCAGUUCCUUCUGCUGAUCACUGAUACUAAAGAUCCAUCUGUGGUGAAAGCAGAACCUCCAAACCCUCGACUGACUGCAGAACUGAACAAGCAGAGGAACCAAGUGGACCUGCUGAUCUCCUCUGCUGCAGUGACAGACUCUGCUGUGUACUACUGUGCUCUGCAGCCCACAGUGACAGGAAACACCAGAACUCUGUACAAGAACCUGCAAUACUCCACAACAUCCACUAGAGGGCCUCACACACUGUUCCACCUCUCUGGUUUGUUAGGAUUCAGCUGAGA